rnacentral:rRNA from 1 species
GACGAACGCUGGCGGCGUGCCUAAUACAUGCAAGUAGAACGCUGAAGAGAGGAGCUUGCUCUUCUUGGAUGAGUUGCGAACGGGUGAGUAACGCGUAGGUAACCUGCCUUGUAGCGGGGGAUAACUAUUGGAAACGAUAGCUAAUACCGCAUAACAAUGGAUGACACAUGUCAUCUAUUUGAAAGGGGCAAUUGCUCCACUACAAGAUGGACCUGCGUUGUAUUAGCUAGUAGGUGAGGUAAUGGCUCAACUAGGUGACGAUACAUAGCCGACCUGAGAGGGUGAUCGUCCACACUGGGACUGAGACGCGGCCCAGACUCCUACGGGAGGCAGCAGUAGGGAAUCUUCGGCAAUGGGGGCAACCCUGACCGAGCAACGCCGCGUGAGUGAAGAAGGUGUUCGGAUCGUUAAGCGCUGUUGUAAGUCAAGAACGGGUGUGAGAGUGGAAAGUUCACACUGUGACGGUAGCUUACCAGAAAGGCACGGCUAACUACGUG